UGUGGCUGUGCUAGAGCGGCUUGCUCCGGAGCCAAUCAGCGCAGGCGGUGGGCUCUCGGGGCGCAGGAAGUGCCCGUUGCUAGGCGACGCGUGCCGCCGCCAUGUCGGCCUUCCACUGGGAGGCGAGGCGCAGACAGGCGGCGCUGGAGCGGCGCAGGGCCGCGCUCCUACGGGCUGCGGGUGGCUCAAGGAUGGAUACCAGGCACGGCACCGAUAGCGGCGCGACGCAGGCCUUGCAGCCCGAGUCUCAGCCCGGCCGCUGCUGCUGCCCGUGUCAUCAUGUCUCGAACCCUAGCGCCAAGCUGCCCAACCGCUUCUCGGCUGUACAGUACAUGCAACAAUGGUGAGGACCAAGAGACUCCCAGAUCUCCACCACAAGCAGAACGAACCCAGCACCACCUGUGUAUACAGCACAAAGGGCCAUUUCACCAAUGUCAGCAGCAAAAGCUAACAGCUAAAUAAAACAGCAUUGCGCCUCA
rnacentral:lncRNA from 1 species